rnacentral:rRNA from 1 species
UGGGGGAUAUUGCACAAUGGAGGAAACUCUGAUGCAGCAACGCCGCGUGAGGGAAGAAGGUCUUCGGAUUGUAAACCUCAGUAGUCAGGGACGAAAGAAAUGACGGUACCUGAAGAGUAAGCUCCGGCUAACUACGUGCCAGCAGCCGCGGUAAUACGUAGGGAGCGAGCGUUGUCCGGAUUUACUGGGUGUAAAGGGUGCGUAGGCGGGAUAGCAAGUCAGACGUGAAAUACCGAGGCUUAACUUCGGGGCUGCGUUUGAAACUGUUAUUCUUGAGUGAAGUAGAGGCAGGCGGAAUUCCUAGUGUAGCGGUGAAAUGCGUAGAUAUUAGGAGGAACACCAGUGGCGAAGGCGGCCUGCUGGGCUUUAACUGACGCUGAGGCACGAAAGCAUGGGGAGCAAA